CAGCAGCCGCGGGAAUACGGAGGGUGCAAGCGUUAAUCGGAAUUACUGGGCGUAAAGCGCACGCAGGCGGUCUGACAAGUCAGAUGUGAAAUCCCCGGGCUUAACCUGGGAACUGCAUUUGAAACUGUCAGGCUGGAGUCCUGUAGAGGGGGGUGGAAUUCCAGGUGUAGCGGUGAAAUGCGUAGAGAUCUGGAGGAAUACCGGUGGCGAAGGCGGCCCCCUGGACAAAGACUGACGCUCAGGUGCGAAAGCGUGGGGAGCAAACAGGAUUAGAUACCCGAGUAGUCCCUGUCUCUUAUAC
rnacentral:rRNA from 1 species